UGCGUAGGCGGUCUUUCAAGCCAGAAGUGAAAGGCUACGGCUCAACCGUAGUAAGCUUUUGGAACUGUAGGACUUGAGUGCAGGAGAGGAGAGUAGAAUUCCUAGUGUAGCGGUGAAAUGCGUAGAUAUUAGGAGGAAUACCAGUAGCGAAGGCGGCUCUCUGGACUGUAACUGACGCUGAGGCACGAAAGCGUGGGGAGCAAACA
rnacentral:rRNA from 1 species